AAAUUAUUAUUAAUUUAAUUAGUUUAUUUAUUAAAUAAUAAAAAUAAUUUUAAAUAUUAAAAUUUUAGUAUAUUUUAUAGAAAAAAUUAUUAUAAUUAUAGAGUAUUAGUAUUGUAAAAGAAAUAUAAAAUAAUAUAAGUUAUUUAAAAGUAAAAUUUAUUUUUUGUACCUUGUGUAUCAGGGUUAAUUUAAUAAAUAUUAUUAAUUUUAAUUUUCCCGAAUUUAAAAGAGAGAAUAAAUAAUUUUUUUUAUUGUGAAAAAAAUAUUUAGAAUUAUUUAUUAGUAAUGAAAAGUUAUUCGUUUUUAAAUAUAUCUGGUUUAUAUAGAAAUAAAUUAAAUUUAGUUAAUUUUAUUUUAUUAAUUUAUUUUUUUAAAUUAAUAGAUUUUAUUAAUAAUAAUUAAAGGGAUAAGCUUUUAAUUAAAUUUUUAUAAUAUAAAUAAAUAAUAAAAAAUUUAUAGGUUUAGAAAUAUCCAUUAUUUAUAAUUUGUUGUAAUUAAAUUUUUAUAAAUUAUUAUUUGAUAUAUAUUUAAAUUUAUAUAUAUAUAUAUAAAUAAUAUUUAAUUUUAAAAUAUUAGAUAUAAUGAUUAAAUUAGUAUAUUUAUUUAUUUAAAUAAAAUUAUUUUUUAGAUUAUAAAAAGGAAUUCGGCAAAAAUUUUAUUCGCCUGUUUAAUAAAAACAUGUCCUUUAGUUAAAAAUAAUUUAAGGUCUAACCUGCCCAUUGAUUAAAUUAAAAGGCCGCAGUAAUUUGACUGUGCAAAGGUAGCAUAAUCAUUAGUUUUUUAAUUAAAAGCUUGUAUGAAUGGUUGGACGAGAUAAAAUCUGUCUCUUUAUAAAAAAUAGAAUUUAAUUUUUAAGUUAAAAAGCUUAAAUUUUAAUAAAAGACGAGAAGACCCUAUAGAUCUUUAUAUAAUUUUUUUUAGUAUUAAUAAAGAAAUUUUUAUUUAUUAAUUAAAUUUGUAUUUUAUUGGGGUAAUAAAAAGAUUAAAAAAAUUCUUAAAUAUUUAACAAAAAUUAUUGGUUAAAUGAUCCAUUAUUAAUGAUUAUAAGAUUAAGUUACCUUAGGGAUAACAGCGUAAUUUUUUUAGAGAGUUCUUAUCAAUAAAAAAGUUUGCGACCUCGAUGUUGGAUUAAAAGUAAUUUCGGGUGUAGAAGUUCGGAGUUUUGGUCUGUUCGACCAUUAAAUUUUUACAUGAUCUGAGUUUAGACCGGCGUAAGCCAGGUCGGUUUCUAUCUUUAUUAAUUUAAUAUAUUUUAGUACGAAAGGACCAAAUAUAUAAUAUAUUUAUAUUAAUUUUUUGAAUAUUAUUAUUACUUUGGCAGAUUAGUGUAAUGAAUUUAGAAUUCAAUAAUGUAAAAUUUUAC
rnacentral:rRNA from 1 species